GACAGAGGUGCCGAGCGUUAGGCGGAAUCACUGGGCUUAAAGCGUGUGUAGGCGGGCGAUCAAGUACCUUGUGAAAUCCCACGGCUCAACCGUGGAACCGCUGGGUAUACUGGUUGUCUUGAGCCGGCUAGGGGCGAGCGGAACAGACGGUGGAGCGGUGAAAUGCGUAGAUAUCAUUUGGAACGCCAACGGUGAAAACAGCUGGCUGGGGGUGUGCUGACGCUGAGACACGAAAGCCAGGGGAGCGAACGGG
rnacentral:rRNA from 1 species